GGAUGUUCUGCUGGAGCUCCUCACAGUCCAACAGGUCUCCAUCGCGAGCCAAAGCCGAAAGCGAGUUAGCUUGCGCGGCGAGAGAUUGCCUGCUUGCUGCUAUCUCUGCUGACCUUCAGCUCUGGAGACAGAGUCUAUAUGUCUUGCCUUCAGGGGAGUGGAACUGGGGAGUCCCGCUAGCUGUUUAUACUUGCGGCCGCUUGUCGCCCACAUGCGUAGGCAGAGAGGAUCCUCACAUACGUCAGCCUGGGAGGAGGGAUGACAGGCGCCGGAGGAAGGGCCAAGAAAGGGUUUGUCAAGUUGUACUCACAUUCCCAAGAAUCGAGUCACCGUGGUGCCCAAGUGGUCGAAGAUGAAGCCACUGGCCAGAAAUUCAAGGUUACAGUGGAGAUAAGCAAACUGACCUAAGACCUGUGAGCCAUUGAUUCCUGUGGUGUUGACGCACAGGGAGCCGAAGUAGCCCUCAUUCUUGAGGACAAAAACAAGUGAAGCCCACCCAAAUAUGAUGCCUGCAAAACACAGACACUCCACCAGGCCCGUGAUGAAGGUGAGGCCUCGUCGCACCCACAACAGGUUCUGAGAGUCUACCAUGGUGCCAGCUUCUGUCAUCAUGCACACACACUGUGUUCACACCUGGCCUCCUCACUGCCAAAACCGCAGAUGGAAGUACAGUAAUUGAACUGCACCUUUUCAAUCCAUUUCCACACACACACAGAAAAAAUGUAGCCUAUUAGGUCCAAUAAUUAUUUUUUUUAAUAACAAAUAAACUGACAUUGUAACAACAUAAAAAAAAAGUAAUACUGACCUUUGAUGCUCACGUUUCUACCUUGGAGUCUCUCACAUCUCUGUUCUCCUGACUCACGC